CUUGCUUCUCUUGAGAGCGGCGGACGGGUGAGUAAUGCCUAGGAAUCUGCCUGGUAGUGGGGGAUAACGUUCGGAAACGGACGCUAAUACCGCAUACGUCCUACGGGAGAAAGCAGGGGACCUUCGGGCCUUGCGCUAUCAGAUGAGCCUAGGUCGGAUUAGCUAGUUGGUGGGGUAAUGGCUCACCAAGGCGACGAUCCGUAACUGGUCUGAGAGGAUGAUCAGUCACACUGGAACUGAGACACGGUCCAGACUCCUACGGGAGGCAGCAGUGGGGAAUAUUGGACAAUGGGCGAAAGCCUGAUCCAGCCAUGCCGCGUGUGUGAAGAAGGUCUUCGGAUUGUAAAGCACUUUAAGUUGGGAGGAAGGGUUGUAGAUUAAUACUCUGCAAUUUUGACGUUACCGACAGAAUAAGCACCGGCUAACUCUGUGCCAGCAGCCGCGGUAAUACAGAGGGUGCAAGCGUUAAUCGGAAUUACUGGGCGUAAAGCGCGCGUAGGUGGUUUGUUAAGUUGGAUGUGAAAUCCCCGGGCUCAACCUGGGAACUGCAUUCAAAACUGACUGACUAGAGUAUGGUAGAGGGUGGUGGAAUUUCCUGUGUAGCGGUGAAAUGCGUAGAUAUAGGAAGGAACACCAGUGGCGAAGCGACCACCUGGACUAAUACUGACACUGAGGUGCGAAAGCGUG
rnacentral:rRNA from 1 species